rnacentral:rRNA from 1 species
ACGGGGUGCAGCAGGCGCGAAAACUGGCCAAUGCGCGAAAGCGUGAGCCGGCUAGUCCGAGUGAUAGCCCAUCGGCUAUCUUUUGUUAAGUGUACAAAGCUUGGCGAAUAAUGAGAGGGCAAGACUGGUGCCAGCCGCCGCGGUAAAACCAGCUCUUAGAGUGGUAGGCGUGUUUAUUUGGCUUAAAGUGUGCGUAGCCGGACAGAGUAUGUCCCUUGUGAAAUGCCAGGUCUUAAGCUUGGCGCGUGCGAGGGAAACUGCUCGUCUUGGGACCGGGAUAGGUACAAUGUACGCGUUGGGUAGGGGUGAAAUCCGAUAAUCCAACGCGGACAACCGGUGGCGAAGGCGUUGUACUGGAACGGGUCCGACGGUGAGGCACGAAAGCUAGGGUCGCGAGCCGGAUUAGAUACCCGGGUAGUCCUAUGCUGUAAACGAUGCUCACUAAGUGUUAGGCAAUGCAAGACGUUGUCUAGUGCCGAAGGGAAACCGUUAAGUGAGCCGCCUGGGAAGUACGUUCGCAAGAA